AUUGAACGCUGGCGGCAUGCUUUACACAUGCAAGUCGAACGGUAACAGGCCGCAAGGUGCUGACGAGUGGCGAACGGGUGAGUAAUGCAUCGGAACGUGCCCAGUCGUGGGGGAUAACGCAGCGAAAGCUGCGCUAAUACCGCAUACGAUCUCUGGAUGAAAGCGGGGGACCGAAAGGCCUCGCGCGAUUGGAGCGGCCGAUGUCAGAUUAGGUAGUUGGUGGGGUAAAGGCCCACCAAGCCAACGAUCUGUAGCUGGUCUGAGAGGACGACCAGCCACACUGGGACUGAGACACGGCCCAGACUCCUACGGGAGGCAGCAGUGGGGAAUUUUGGACAAUGGGCGCAAGCCUGAUCCAGCAAUGCCGCGUGCAGGAAGAAGGCCUUCGGGUUGUAAACCGCUUUUGUACGGAACGAAACGGUCCGGGUUAAUACCCUGGGCUAAUGACGGUACCGUAAGAAUAAGCACCGGCUAACUACGUGCCAGCCGCCGCGGUAAAAC
rnacentral:rRNA from 1 species